GAAGCUCCGGCUGAGGUUUUGCUGUGCACCACGGGCGCCUGUGUGAGAAUAAAUCCUCCUGCUGUUUGCAUCCAGUGUCUCGCGUGGUCCAUUCCGGGUUGGGGGAUCUGGGGGUCUCUCAUUUGGGGGCUCGUCCGGGAUCACUGGUUCAGCCCAGACCCAAAUCCGGAGGACACUCAACAUCACUGGGAGACUUAUUUAUGUGCCUUGCAAUUGGUCCAGAACGAGGUCUGAAAGCCUCUAGCCGAAGCAUACAAAGAGGAACUCAAAACCCCAUCGCUGCCACAUCCCUUCAAAGUUGGAGACACUGUCUAGGUACGCAGGCACCAGAGCAAGAACCUCGAACUGCGGUGAAAAGGACCCUACUCUGUUCUGCUGACCACUCCUACCACAAUCAAGGUGGAUGGCAUCACCACUUGCAUCCACGCUUCCCACGUGAAGGCUGCACAUCCACAGGAGUCCGCAGACACCCCUCCGGAUUCAGAAUGGAAGUUGCAACGCACCCAGAAUCCGCUAAAGAUAAGACUCACUCGCUGUUGAUUUUUCUUACCUUGUAUUCUUUAUUCCCCCUAUUGAAUGCAAGCCCCCAUGUGACCACUACUGAGAGGUUAGCCAAGGGA